rnacentral:rRNA from 1 species
GGCGCAGAGCCGGCAAGGCUUAACAAAUGCAAGUCGAGCGGGGGAGGUUGCUUCGGUAACUGACCUAGCGGCGGACGGGUGAGUAAUGCUUAGGAAUCUGCCAUUUAGUGGGGGACAACAUUCCGAAAGGAAUGCUAAUACCGCAUACGUCCUACGGGAGAAAGCAGGGGAUCUUCGGACCUUGCGCUAAAUGAUGAGCCUAAGUCGGAUUAGCUAGUUGGUGGGGUAAAGGCCUACCAAGGCGACGAUCUGUAGCGGGUCUGAGAGGAUGAUCCGCCACACUGGGACUGAGACACGGCCCAGACUCCUACGGGAGGCAGCAGUGGGGAAUAUUGGACAAUGGGCGGAAGCCUGAUCCAGCCAUGCCGCGUGUGUGAAGAAGGCCUUUUGGUUGUAAAGCACUUUAAGCGAGGAGGAGGCUCUCUUAGUUAAUACCUAAGAUGAGUGGACGUUACUCGCAGAAUAAGCACCGGCUAACUCUGUGCCAGCAGCCGCAA